CAGGAGGAUGCUGAUGCAUUUCGAUCCUAUUGCCUGGAAGCUGAUGACUGGAACCCAAAGCGGGAUAAUGUGUGUGGAGCAUCUUCCACUCUAAAGAGAGGUGAAAACCACUGUGUACCUCCUGGGGCUUCAACAGCCUCCAGAACCAGCUCUCCACUCCCACCAUUGCCAGAAACCCUCCUCCUUUCUAUAAGCGGAUGA
rnacentral:lncRNA from 1 species